rnacentral:rRNA from 1 species
AUGAACGCUAGCUACAGGCUUAACACAUGCAAGUCGAGGGGCAGCAUGGUCUUAGCUUGCUAAGGCCGAUGGCGACCGGCGCACGGGUGAGUAACACGUAUCCAACCUGCCGUCUACUCUUGGACAGCCUUCUGAAAGGAAGAUUAAUACAAGAUGGCAUCAUGAGUCCGCAUGUUCACAUGAUUAAAGGUAUUCCGGUAGACGAUGGGGAUGCGUUCCAUUAGAUAGUAGGCGGGGUAACGGCCCACCUAGUCUUCGAUGGAUAGGGGUUCUGAGAGGAAGGUCCCCCACAUUGGAACUGAGACACGGUCCAAACUCCUACGGGAGGCAGCAGUGAGGAAUAUUGGUCAAUGGGCGAGAGCCUGAACCAGCCAAGUAGCGUGAAGGAUGACUGCCCUAUGGGUUGUAAACUUCUUUUAUAAAGGAAUAAAGUCGGGUAUGGAUACCCGUUUGCAUGUACUUUAUGAAUAAGGAUCGGCUAACUCCGUGCCAGCAGCCGCGGUAAUACGGAGGAUCCGAGCGUUAUCCGGAUUUAUUGGGUUUAAAGGGAGCGUAGAUGGAUGUUUAAGUCAGUUGUGAAAGUUUGCGGCUCAACCGUAAAAUUGCAGUUGAUACUGGAUAUCUUGAGUGCAGUUGAGGCAGGCGGAAUUCGUGGUGUAGCGGUGAAAUGCUUAGAUAUCACGAAGAACUCCGAUUGCGAAGGCAGCCUGCUAAGCUGCAACUGACAUUGAGGCUCGAAAGUGUGGGUAUCAAACAGGAUUAGAUACCCUGGUAGUCCACACGGUAAACGAUGAAUACUCGCUGUUUGCGAUAUACUGCAAGCGGCCAAGCGAAAGCGUUAAGUAUUCCACCUGGGGAGUACGCCGGCAACGGUGAAACUCAAAGGAAUUGACGGGGGCCCGCACAAGCGGAGGAACAUGUGGUUUAAUUCGAUGAUACGCGAGGAACCUUACCCGGGCUUAAAUUGCAGAUGAAUUACGGUGAAAGCCGUAAGCCGCAAGGCAUCUGUGAAGGUGCUGCAUGGUUGUCGUCAGCUCGUGCCGUGAGGUGUCGGCUUAAGUGCCAUAACGAGCGCAACCCUUGUUGUCAGUUACUAACAGGUUCCGCUGAGGACUCUGACAAGACUGCCAUCGUAAGAUGUGAGGAAGGUGGGGAUGACGUCAAAUCAGCACGGCCCUUACGUCCGGGGCUACACACGUGUUACAAUGGGGGGUACAGAGGGCCGCUACCACGCGAGUGGAUGCCAAUCCCCAAAACCUCUCUCAGUUCGGACUGGAGUCUGCAACUCGACUCCACGAAGCUGGAUUCGCUAGUAAUCGCGCAUCAGCCACGGCGCGGUGAAUACGUUCCCGGGCCUUGUACACACCGCCCGUCAAGCCAUGGGAGCCGGGGGUACCUGAAGUGCGUAACCGCGAGGAGCGCCCUAGGGUAAAACUGGUGACUGGGGCU